rnacentral:rRNA from 1 species
CCGGUUGAUCCUGCCGGAGGUCACUGCUAUUGGGAUUCGACUAAGCCAUGCGAGUCGAGAGGGUUCGGCCCUCGGCGAACUGCUCAGUAACACGUGGAUAAUUUGCCCUUAGGUGGAGGAUAACCUCGGGAAACUGAGAAUAAUACUCCAUAGAUCUAGAAUGCUGGAAUGCAUUUAGAUUAAAAGCUCCGGCGCCUAAGGAUAAGUCUGCGGACUAUCAGGUUGUAGUCAGGGUAAAGACCUGACUAGCCUACAACGGAUACGGGUUGUGAGAGCAAUAACCCGGAGACGAUAUCUGAGACACGAUAUCGGGCCCUACGGGGCGCAGCAGGCGCGAAACCUUCGCACUGUGCGAAAGCGCGAUGAGGGAAUCCCAAGUGCUUGCUCGUAAGAGUAAGCUGUUUUUAUGUCUAAAAAGCAUAGAGAGUAAGGGCUGGGUAAGACGGGUGCCAGCCGCCGCGGUAAUACCUGCAGCUCAAGUGGUGAUCAUUAUUAUUGGGCCUAAAACGUCCGUAGCCGGUUUGGUAAAUGCCUGGGUAAAUCGUGUAGCUUAACUAUACGAAUUCCGGGUAGACUGCCAAACUUGAGACCGGGAGAGGCUAGAGGUACUCCUGGGGUAGAGGUGAAAUUCUGUAAUCCUAGGGGGACCACCAGUGGCGAAGGCGUCUAGCUAGAACGGGUCUGACGGUCAGGGACGAAGCCCUGGGGCGCG